ACUCAAAUGAAUUGACGGGGACCCGCACAAGCAGUGGAGUAUGUGGUUUAAUUCGACGCAACGCGAAGAACCUUACCAAGGCUUGACAUUGUUCUGAAUACAGUAGAGAUACUGUAGCCCUUCGGGGCAGAAUAACAGGUGGUGCAUGGUUGUCGUCAGCUCGUGUCGUGAGAUGUUGGGUUAAGUCCCGCAACGAGCGCAACCCUUGUCAUUAGUUGCCAGCAGUAAGAUGGGCACUCUAAUGAGACUGCCGGUGAUAAAUCGGAGGAAGGUGGGGACGACGUCAAAUCAUCAUGCCCCUUAUGUCUUGGGCUACACACGUACUACAAUGGCUAUUACAGAAGGAAGCGAAGGAGCAAUUCGGAGCGAACCCUAAAAGAUAGUCCCAGUUCGGAUUGGGGGCUGCAACCCGCCCCCAUGAAGUCGGAAUUGCUAGUAAUUGCAGGUCAGCAUACUGCAGUGAAUACGUUCCCGGGUCUUGCACACACCGCCCGU
rnacentral:rRNA from 1 species